UGAGGGCGGAGCCGCGUGAGGCAGGGGCGUGUCUAGGGGGUGGCCAGGGGUGGCACGUGCUACCCCUGGAAUCUGAUUGGCCACCCCAGGUGCCACCCCAUAUGCUAAACUAUGAUUGGCUAUCUGCCCACGGAGGCGGGAACGUUUGAAUUGUGUGACUACCGAACUUUCAUUUUCAACCGACAAGAAGACAUCAAGAAGACAUCAAGAGAUUGCGGCUACUCGCUCCUGAAAGAUGUGAGUAGCUAGAAUUAUUGAUAACAGUUACACAUAAUGAGUCAGUGGUUUAAAAAGUUUGAACUGUAAUAAGCUAAAACGUAUUUUGAUUUUCACGAUAUGUGGUGCAGGUCUGUCAUCAUCGCGACUGUCGACAGUGUCGACUGACUCAGCUUGCUGCCUAGCAAACCUGUCCAGGGAUUCUUAGCUCCUGAAAGAUACUCAGACAAGGAUACUGGUGAUGAAGGCCCUUCAUCUUCACUUGCACAUCAGGGUGUGUCAAGUCAGCCACUCUCUGACAAUGACACUGACACUGAGAACCAUCCAGCAGUACCUGCAGGCCAUGCAGUGACACGUGGGGAUGGUGAUGCAGCAGCCCUUGUGGCCCCACCUGGACCUCAUGAUAUUUCACAGUCAAGAGCAGCAGGUCCCUCUCAGCCUCG